GGGCAUGUAGCGCAGUUGGUAGCGCGCUCGCUUAGCAAGUUUCUCCUUAAAUAAGCUGCGAGAGGUCUUGGGUUCAAUUCCCAACUUGUCCA